UCUCCUGUUUCCCCAGAGGCCUGGAGGGAAAUCUCAUCACCCAGAUCCGGAGCGACACCUUCCGGGCAUGGCACGGGAUGCAGUUCCUCCAGACGCUGGUCCUGCGCCAUAACCCCCUGUCUGUUAUCGAGGACACGUGGUUCUUCAAGCUGCCUUCAGUCACUCACCUGGACCUGGGUGCCACACGAGUGACUCGGCAGACGCUGCUCAUGCUGCUCCUGAGAACAUCCCGCUUGGAAACACUGUGAGUGUGCGGUGGCUGGCUCCCACCUCCAGCA